rnacentral:rRNA from 1 species
AAUCUUCCACAAUGGGCGAAAGCCUGAUGGAGCAACGCCGCUUGAUUGAAGAAGGUUUUCGGAUCGUAAAUCGCUGUUGUAAGGGAAGAACAAGUACCGUAGUAACUGGCUGUACCUUGACGGUACCUUAUCAUAAAGCUACGGCUAACUACGUGCCAGCAGCCGCGGUAAUACGUAGGUGGCAAGCGUUGUCCGGAAUUAUUGGGCGUAAAGCGGGCGCAGUCGGUCCUUUAAGUCUGAUGAUGAAACCCACGGCUCAACCGGGGAGGGUCAGUAGAAACUGGGGGACUUGAGGACAGAAGAAGACAGUGGAAUUCCAAGUGUAGCGGUGAAAUGCGUAGAGAAUUGGAGGAACACCAGUGGCGAAGGCGACUUUCUGGUCUGUAACUGCCGAUGAGGCGCGAAAGAGUGGGGAGCAAACAGG